GGCAAGAGUGGUAUUUGUGAGCUGUGUCUGGAGCGCCUGCGGGAGGCGUGCCUCUUCAAGAUGCAGGUGCAGCACUGCCAGGCCGAGCUGCAGGAGAGGUUGGAGGGAGGGAUGAGUGUUAAAGACGAGGAGUGCUGGGACCAGCCACCUGAAGAUGGUGCGUGCAGCGAGCCUUCUUUAUGUUCAGACGAGGAGUCCCCGGGCCCGCCGUGUGAAGGACCGCGAGACGCACAUCUGUUAC